AUCUCAAGGACACUUCGGAGGUUGCAGCUGCUCCCCCACGAAGGGCCUGCCUCCCUGUGUCUCACCUGAGAAAUGCGAGAGGACCGUCACUUUCCUCCUCCUGCAGCUGCAGGGAGAGGACGCCCCUCCCGGUGCGGGGCCGUGGGGGCGGGGACGGCGGGCAGGAGCCCGAGCUGGGGCGUGGGCGUCCGUGCGACUGCUGAGUCGCACCCAGGCGUUGUGAUUUUAGAAAACUUCAGAGUUCUGAGACAAAAGGCAGAACCGUCCGUCAAGAGCCGUGGUCCUUCAGAAGGCAACUUUACACCACAGCCGUGGGAUUCCGUGGGGAGGUCGCAGUGUGGACAGAAGACCCAGCAGUAGCACCAAAGGCUUCCGGACUCCUGAGAGGCCCUGGAGGGUGCAGCCUUCGGGAGGAGGCUGAGGCAAGCUGCCAUGUGAACAAGUGAACAAGUCCAUGUGAACAAGUCCAGCAACCUGCUGGAGGAUGAGAGACCACGUGGAGCAGAGAUGAGCCGUUCCAGCUGAGCCCCGCCCACAUUGAUGACACAAGAAUUAUGAACUAAAUAAAUGGUUGUUUGUUCCCACACAUCUGAGGCACAGGAAUUGUGUCCUUCAGUUUGGUGAAUUCUUCCAUCUGGAUGCUGUGGAAAGAAGAAUGUGCUUCCAUGAGAACCUGAUGAAAAGCAUUUUCCUCCUUCGAAUCAGGUGACUCAACUUUGGUGUCUUGCUAUAUGACCUCGGUGACACAGUUUCUAAAGUCUCUAAAAUGUCGCUUAUAAUCCACGCACCGGGGUUGGUGUGAGUCUUAAAUGUGACAGGAUAUGUGAGAGUGAUCUUUACGUUGUUAAGUACUUAACAAGUGUAAGUUAUUUUUAAAUAUAAAACAAUCUAUGAAGCUCUUUCUCCAAAGCAGCUGCACUGAUCCCCCCUUUGGAGAGUGUGGACGGCAAUUAAAGUCAGUUUACAAGCUUGUACACAUUCUUCACAGAAUUUGAGCUUGUUCCAACUUGUUUGUGCAGUUAAUUGGUGGCAUGGACUAUGCCAAAUGUACGUUUGUAAUUUUCUGCUUGCUGUGUAAGUAGUAGGAGUCACCCAGCUCACCGACGCUUAGGUAUUU
rnacentral:lncRNA from 1 species